rnacentral:rRNA from 1 species
GCUAUAUACGUGCCAGCGGCAGAUGGAAUACGUGUGGCUAGAGCGUUUUCGGGAAUGAGUGGGCGGAAAAGUGGCUGCGACGUAUUGAUAAGUAGGAAGUGAAAGCCCACAGCUCAACUGUGGAAUGUCUUUGGAAACGGUCGAACUUGAGUGCAGUAGAUGUAAGUGGAAGUCCAUGUGUAGCGGUGGAAUGCGUAGAUAUAGGGAAGAACACCAGUGGCGAAGGCGGCUUACUGGACUGCAACUGACGUUGAGGCUCGAAAGUGUGGGUAGCAAACAGGAUUAGAUACCCGGGUAGUC